rnacentral:rRNA from 1 species
GACGAACGCUGGCGGCGUGCCUAACACAUGCAAGUCAACUUGACUGAAGGAGCAAUCUGACAGUAGAGUGGCGCAAGGGUGCGUAACGCGUAAGUAACUUGCCCCAAGGUAAGGAAUAACGUCGAGAAAUCGGCGCUAAUACCUCAUAAUGCAGCGGAUCCGCAUGGAUAUGUUGUUAAAGGUUUACCGCCUUGGGAUAGGCUUGCGUCUGAUUAGCUAGUUGGUGUGGUAACGGCACACCAAGGCUACGAUCAGUAACUGGUCUGAGAGGAUGAUCAGUCACACUGGAACUGAGACACGGUCCAGACUCCUACGGAGGCAGCAGUGAGGAAUAUUGGGCAAUGCUCGAAAGAGUGACCCAGCAACGCCGCGUGGAGGAUGAAGGUAUUCUAUAUCGUAAACUCCUGUGAGAGCAGACGAAAGACAGAUUAUAAUCUGGAUGACUGUAUGCUCAGA